UCAUUUUAUUUUUUAGUUCACCGGGGUCCUUCUGUAUUUCAUGGUGUGGCUCUAAUUCUCUCAGCAUUUAGCAAUGCAUUUUUAUAUUCGUAAUAAGACCUUUGGGCCACGGUGAGCUAAAAAAUAAAAUGAAAGUGCAUGUGAAAUAAGAAGUUAACUUAUUGGAUUUCUGUUCCUCCAGAAAGUUGAUUAUGAUGUCUACUUACACAAAAUGUUUGUGAACAUUUACCAUUUGCGGUAAAUGCAGUGACAUCACCAAGCACAUGAAAAGCAGAAGAAACAGCAGCAUCAACCUCAAAAGCUGGUAACUCUUUUCAGGCAGCCAAAGACAGUGACUGACGCCUGCAGCCGUGUCACUCGGGGACUUUUCUUGUAGAUCAAAUGUCAGUGCUCAUUAAUUUCCUUCUUUGUCAACUUUGAGUUUUCUUAUGAAUUUACUCGAUGACGUGAUAGCUGUUAUUGUGUUACCUCCAUGAGCCCAAUUUCACAAGACAGUUAAGUGAUAUGGAUGUAAUAUGUGUAUUAUCAGAUGCUUCCAACAGAAAAGCUCAUUCAGUUAAUUUGAAUAAUGACUUAAUUUUUAUUCAAAUCAUUAAAUAAAUGUAAAGCUUUUAUUAAAAACAAUUAUUAUUGUUUUAAUUAUUAGCAAUUAUUAAAAGCAAGUUUGCAAACAGAAAGACUAUUUAAAUUUCUUACCACAAAAGAAAGAGAGAAACUGAAUAAAACGCAUAAUGUCUACCCAAAUAGUGUAUGAGAAUAACUUUGGAAUUCUAAAAUUGCUUCUUGGAGCAUCUCAAUUUAUGAAACAGAUUUUUGCUAGAGCUCAUAUUUUAAUAGUAUGUAUGUUUAUUAUAUAUGAGAAUGGAAUGAAAUUGAAAAGGCCUGUGAUUUUUAGCACAUAAAUUUGAUAAAACAUUCAAAGGAAUUAUACAUGAAAAAAGCCUAUUUGACUCAUUUUGCCCUAUAAAGACAUUUAUGAAAGACUUUGGAUUGAACUCAGAACACAGGACCUGUGACAAUAUCUGGGUGAAAUAUUGACCUUUUCAUUAGAAAAUACUGAGACUGUCUUCCCCUGAGCAGAGUCAGCUCAGAUCUUACCUCUACAGCUGCUCAUUCAUCUGACAACCUCAGGGUCUACAGAGAAGAUUCCACUUAGCUGGUCGGCAAACUCAAAUUCAUUAGCCACAAAAAUGUCUUCUUGGAGAGGAUUCCAGGCAAUUUUAUGAAAGAUUAAAAUAAGGCAAUUCUGAAAAUAGCACAUUCUUCUGAAAAAUGCCACUAAUGGCAAUAGAAACAAAUAAGGCUUAAAAACUGAUUGAAGAAUGUGAAUAGGUAUCAAGAAAAAUUAUUCAGGCCGGGCACGAUGGCUCACGCCUGUAAUUCCAGGACUUUAGGAGGCCAAGGUGGGAGAUCUCUUGAACCCAGGAGUUUGAGACCAGCCUGGGCCACAUAGGGAGACACUAUCUCUAUAAAAAUAAAAAUGAAAAAAUUAGCUGGGCAUAGUGGUGCAUGCCUGUGGUCCCAGCUACUCGGGAGGCUGAGAUGACAGAAUUGCUUGAGCCUGAGAAGUCAAGGCUGCAGGGAGCUGAGAUCACGCCCCUGCACUCUAGCCUGGGCGACAGAGCUGGACUAUGUCUCAAAAAAAAAAAAUAAUAAUAAUUAUGCUUGUAAUUGCUUUUUAAUAUCCAGAUAAUCAAUACAACAAAGAAGGCAUUUGUUUUUUGCUUUAAUGUAAACAUAUGUUAUUUUUUACUUUUUGAAAGAGCAUUUAAUUUUUUCUCUCCAAUUACAAUUUUCACUUUACUAGAAACAAAAAUUACACACCCCUAGAGUAUUUUCCCCUUGUCCUUAUAUACCAAGAUAUUUCAGUGGAAAUUUAUUUUUCUUCAGCUUCAUUGAGUUAUAAUUUAUAUCCAACAAAAUCCACCUAUUUUAAUUUAGCAAUUGGUAGCUGUAGUGUAACCAUCACCACAAUCAAGAAAUAGAACAUUUUCAUCACUCUAAAAAGUUUUCUUUUGACCCUCCCCUGAGCCCUGACCCCAAUUACUAAUAAUCUCGAAAGCAUCGAAAGCAUCUUUUAAACAACGUAAUUGAGGUAUAAUUGCCAUAUAAUAAACUAUACAUGUUUAAAGUGUGCAACUCACAUGUGUUGACACAUGUGCAAGUCUUGAACAUGUGCUCAAGAUGUUCAGCAUCAACAACAAGAUAGUCAGCAUAUGCCUCCUUCCAUUGUGUGGUUAUACUGCAGUUCCUUUAUCCAUCUCACCCAUUGAUGGACAUUUGGGUUUUUUCUAUUUGUAGCUAUUACAAAUAAAGCUGCUAUGACUUUUGCUUAUUUAUGCAAAAGUCUUCACUUGGGCACAGACUUUUCUCUUGGAUAAAUACCUCGGAGCAGAACAAUGGGGUCAUGUGGUAGCUGUGUGUUUAAUUGUCAAGAAACCGUCAGUUUUCUUUUUUCUUUCUUUUUUUUCUUUUUUUUUUGAGACAGAGUCUGGCACUCUCGCCUGGGCUGGAGUGCAGUGGCGCCAUCUCGGCUCACUGCAGGCUCCGCCUCCCGGGUUCACGCCAUUCUCCUGCCUCAGCCUCCCGAGUAGCUGGGACUGUUUUCUAAAGCGGUUGUACCAUUUUACAUUCCUAACCACAGGGUGUGAGAGUUCUGGUCUCUACACAUCCUCGCCAACACUUGGUGUGGGAGCUCUUCUUGCAGUUAUUCUAAGCUGCUUGUAGUAAUAGCCACUGUAGUCUUAAUUUGUGUUUCCUUAAUGACUGAUGCUGCUGAAUCUCUUUUCAUGUGCUAUUUACCAUUUCUAUAUGGUGGGUGAAGUAUCUAUUCUUUUCUCUUUUUUUUAUUUUUAUUUUUUGAGACGGAGUCUCACUCUGUCACCCAGGCUGGAGUGCAAUGGCGCGAUCUUGUCUCACUGCAACCUCUGCCUCCUGGGUUCAAGUGAUUCUCCUGCCUCAGUCUCCUGAGUAGCUGGGAUUACAGGCACCUGCCACCAUGCCCGGCUAAUUUUUGUAUUUUUAGUAGAGAUAGGGGUUCAUCAUGUUAGUCAUGCUGGUCUCAAACUCCUGACCUCAGGUGAUCCACCCACCUCAGCCCCUCAAAGUGCUGGGAUUACAGGUGUGAGCCACUGUGCCUGGCCUAUUCUCUUCUUUUUUUAAAAAAUUAGGUUCUUUGUUUUCUUACUGUUGAGUUUCAAGCAAUCUUUAUCUAUAUGGCUACAAGUCAUUUAUCAGAUGGGUGAUUUGCAAGUAUUUUCUCCUGUGGUUUGUCUUUUCAUUCAUUUAUCAAUGUCUUUCAAAAGCAGAAGAACCUCUUCACUUUGACAAAGUCCAAUUUAUGGUUUUAGUUUUUGUUUUUAAACAUCGAAUACUUUUGAUGUUGUCUCUAAGAAAUCUUUGCUGGCCGGGUACCAUGGCUCACGUCUAGAAUCCCAACACUUUGGGAGGCCGAGGCAGGAGGAUGGCUUGAGCCCAAGAAUACCAGCCUGGGCAAAAGGGCGAAACCCCAUCUCUACAAAAAAUACAAAAGAAAUUAGCUCGGUGUGGUGGCAAGACCAUGAGGGAGGGGCCGUAGGGAGACGCAGGGGCAUAAUGGCAAGUGGUUAAUUCUAGCAGCCUAAGAGGUAAAGUAAACAGGAAACCGUUGAGGUGGUGUUCAGGGCCACAGGAGAGACUGGAACACUGGCCAAAUGCUUGGCUCUGUUAGAGUGAGCAGAAUAAAAGCAGGCCGGAAAAAGCAAGUCAGAACUUUGGCGAUUUCUGUCACUAUCAGGAGGCACUGGACUGCAAGUCACAGAAUAAACUCAUCCACCGUGACUUAAACACGUAGGGACUGUCCUUCUCCCAUCACAAGAAGACUAGAGCCAUGUCUCUGCUGGGGGCUUCUGAGGUUCACGUUGUCAGAGCCAGGAUGUCAGCAGUUCUUGGAUCUUUUGUCAAGGCCAUCUCUGAGUCACCUCUGUCUGCAGGGGACUGUGGGAUGGUGAGUGUUUAGCUCUCCAUCCUCUGGAUGGAAGCAGGCAGGGGAGAAGAAGGUUGGGGAGGGUGCUGGGUUAGCCACCCAUGUCCACCCUGAGCAUGCUGGGGGCCAGGCACGCAGCUUCUGCAAGACAAGCGUGGUCCCGAGCCCACCUGGAAAUCUGGGAGCUGGCAAGUGUUCCCUGAAUUCCUGCCUCCCUGCUUCUCCAUCGGCAGCAUUGCUCACCGCAUUCUUGUUGUAACCUGUCUCGGCUGUGAGCUCUGGGCGUUUGCUUCCUUCCUGGGUAGCUGCCAGUCUGAAUUAUUUAUGAACCUAAGGUACACACUGAUGGCAUUCCAACAAAGGCCACCAAAGGGAGCAGCCUGUCUGUAACCCUGAAGCUUAGCACACAGCGAAAAGGACUCAGAUAAAACUGUAAGCUUCCUCUGCAGGGAAGAGGAAGGACUGGACUUCUCCAGGGCAGGCGGAGGCACCAGAAGCAAACCUGUUCCUGCUUCCCUCCGUUUUCCAGGUGCCUUAGGGUGACUGCGGUAACUGGGAGCUGAGCACUGAUGGGCAAUGGGGCAAGAACUGGGCCAUGUGCCUCGGGGUCCCAGCACACAGGCCAGCCCCUGAGGGUAGGAACGAGAGCCCAGACUCUGGAGGCAGGCAGACCAGGGUUUAUGCCCUGGCAAUUCCUGAUGGGGCCGAGGAUCUUCACCUCUUUGUGCUUCAGUUUCUCUAUCUGGCCAGUGGGGUUGCUGUGAGGAUUAAAUGCAGCCGUCCCUGUGUGGUAGAUUGUUUGCAACAACAACAAAAAAAUGGCCACAAUUGUUCCACUCCCUGAGUUCACACCCCCUUGCAAUGUGACUUAACAGCAACUCUCACGGAGAGGCGGAGUCUCUUCCACACCCUGGAAUCUGGGCGGGCCUGUGACUCACGAUGGCCAAUAGAAUGCCCUGCAAGUGACGUCAUGCCCUUCCGAGCCUUGCAGCUUCUGCUGGUGGGAAGGCCGAUGGCAGAGCCCAGGGAAGUUAUGUAACGGGCCCAGCUAAUGAGUGGCAGAGGCCAGAGGGCUUGGCCUGCAGAACUGUCUAAGGCCAGAGGCCGUCCAUACACUCCGUCUCCUGAAGGGGAAGCGGGCUCUUCUCAGAUGCACAGGGACAAUGUGAAAAUCCUGUCCUCAGAUUGAGAGGCUGUUUCGUGGGCACCGAAUUCGGGGUCAGGAAAGCAGCCUGCAUCCACGAGUAUCCUCGGGUUACUAAGUGGGGCCAGUGGCUCCAGGUGUAACCCAUUUAAGUUUGCCAGACAGCCGGGAUGUAAGGAAUGCCCUAAUGAUUCCCCUUUCCCCCCCACGGAAAGUGGGCAGUGGGGUCUGGGAAGGGGUUUGGGAAGGGGUCUGGGGAGUGGGAUGAGGUUGGGACUAACUCUUGUUGGCUUUCCUUACAGAAGGGGUAGCUGGAGUGUUUCAGGUCUAUUUGCUUGUUUUGUGUUUUUCAAUUUCGGGUUUUUUUUUUUUUUAAGACAGGGUCUUGCUAUGUUGCCCAGGCUGGUCUAACUCCUGGAUUCAAGCGAUCCCUCCACCUCAGCCUCCCAAGUAGCUGGGACUACAGGCAUGAGCACCUGCACCUGCUUGUUUUUUUGUUUUUUUGAGAUGGAGUCUCACUCUGUCACCCAGGCUGGAGUGCAGUGGUGUGAUCUUGGCUUACUGCAACCUCUGCCUCCUGGGUUCAAGCGAUUCUCCUGCCUCAGCCUCCCAAGUAGCUGGGACUACAGGUACGUGCAACUAUGCCCAGCUAAUUUUUUGUAUUUUUAGUAGAGAUGGGGUUUCACUGUGUUAGCCAGGAUGGUCUCGAUCUCCUGACCUCAUGAUCCACCCACCUCAGCUGCUUGCUUGUUUUUAAUAUAUCCUUGCUCCCUGUCUUUCACAAAAGAUGCUUUUUGCGGGCAGCUGAUGUUCUGUAACUUCUUGUGAGUCUACCGCAAGCAUGCCUGUGUAUGUGGGAGGAGGAGGUGAAAACGGCCCAGCAGCUUCCCCUGUGAUCACAGAAUGGGCACCAAACUCUCCAUCGGGAAAAACAGCCCUGGGGACUCCACCUUGAGCUUAUGCAUUGGGGCUUGGGGCCACCAGAUAGUUCUAUUUUGUUUUUAAAAUCAGCCAAUGGCCAAAAUGCCAAAGCAAAGACAAAAGGUCCCCAAAGCUGCCAUUGCUCAUCUCCUAUUAGUCUUUAAAUCUGGAAAAAAAAAAACAAAACAAACAAAAACCACGGGAAUAAAGCAUACACGGAAGUGUUGGCAGCUUGCACACUCAGCCAUGAGAUCCCAACCUGAAACACCCAUGUCUGUCCCAACGGAUUUAGCCUCCUUUAACCAGGGCCUCCCGGAGAUCUAGGUUUGCAAACUCCUUGGAGCCCUCCUGGCCCUGGAUUCAGCAGCCUCUCCAUAGUUCUGGCCUCUGGUAUUUGGCAAAAAGCCUAAAACAAAACAAACAAACAAACAAACCUGCUCUGCAACUGCCCAGAGACAAAAGCUGUUUCGCUGUGAGUCUCAGGCUGCUCUGCGUAGCUCUGAAAGGGCAGGUGACAGUCUUUGUUUUUAGCAUAGUUGCAUGUUUCCAGCACAAUCUCGUCAAUGGCUUAUGUGGUAAGUAGGUGCUCAACAAAGGUGUCAGUUAACUGAAGAACCCCCUGGACCAGUGUGAGAAUCUCCAGGAGAGCUCCCUAAGGCACAGAUGGCUGAGCCUUGCCCUAGAUUCCGUGGGUCUGGAGAAGGGCCCUGGAAUGUGCAUUUGUCACAAGUUCCAGGUGAUGCUGGUGCCGCUGGCUGGGGACCCCACUUUGCGAACCGCAGGCAGAGUGGAUAGAAGCCUGUCUCCAGUGCCAGACGGCCCGGCUCCACAGGACAGCUCUGUAGUACUCAACUUCCUCCUGCCUCGAUUUCCUCAUCAGUAAAAUUGAGGGAAUUAUAAUGCACACGCCGCCUGGUAAAUGACGCAUAAAUGUUAUUUAAAACAUAAGGAAGCACACAGAAAAGAGAGAACAAAAGUGAAACUCCUCACCGCUCUGUUUCCCUCCUUUCCCUUCCGCCUCCUCGCCCUGAGCUGGAACGAGGGGGACGUGGAACCCUGGCUCCAUGCUAAGACCCCGCUGUGGGCAACCGGCCCUGACCCCCCAAAAUAAGCAAAUCGCAAGGUCAAAUUUAGACUCCCAGGCCCCGGGGCUCCAAUGGCUCCAAUCCCCUGGACUCACAGAACCCGAAGAGCCAGUUCCUCUGGGCACAGAACAACACGCGUUGGGCACUGACAGGAAGGGAAAGAAAACAGCCUGCGGAGGUAUUUCCAGCGUGCCCAGGGCAGCUGGGAGGAGGCUCCACGGCGCCCGGUUCUUCUGUUGGCAGAAGGGUCCAGAAUCCCACAUCUGUACCUUCCCCGCUGUCACGCGCUUAUGCCAGGAACAGCCUGAGCAGGGUGGCCCUCCGGGGUUCCUGGGAGGCAG
rnacentral:lncRNA from 10 species